UGUACCAGCAGACUUGCCGUAGUACCUCACCAGUGAAAAACAGUCCUUUAGCCAAACUGUUGUCUGUUCCACUUUUUGUUCACUUUUUCUUGCUGAGCCUGAGAGAGCACAUGCCUUUUUACAGUGCUUCAACAGUAAACAUCUAAAA